UGAACGCUGGCGGCGUGCCUAAUACAUGCAAAUCGAGCGACCAGACGAGGAGCUUGCUCCUCUGACGUUAGCGGCGGACGGGUGAGUAACACGUGGAUAACCUACCUAUAAGACUGGGAUAACUUCGGGAAACCGGAGCUAAUACCGGAUAAUAUAUUGAACCGCAUGGUUCAAUAGUGAAAGACGGUUUUGCUGUCACUUAUAGAUGGAUCCGCGCCGCAUUAGCUAGUUGGUAAGGUAACGGCUUACCAAGGCGACGAUGCGUAGCCGACCUGAGAGGGUGAUCGGCCACACUGGAACUGAGACACGGUCCAGACUCCUACGGGAGGCAGCAGUAGGGAAUCUUCCGCAAUGGGCGAAAGCUUGACGGAGCAACGCCGCGUGAGUGAUGAAGGUCUUCGGAUCGUAAAACUCUGUUAUUAGGGAAGAACAAAUGUGUAAGUAACUAUGCACGUCUUGACGGUACCUAAUCAGAAAGCCACGGCUAACUACGUG
rnacentral:rRNA from 1 species